UACGGGGGGAGCAACCGUUGUUCGGAAUUACUGGGCGUAAAGGGCGCGUAGGCGGUCCUGUAAGUGGUGUGUGAAAUCCGAUGGCUCAACCAUCGAGCUGCGCUCCAUACUGCAGGACUUGAGUACAGCAGAGGAAAGUGGAAUUCCAGGUGUAGCGGUGAAAUGCGUAGAUAUCUGGAGGAACACCGGUGGCGAAGGCGGCGUUCUGGACUGCAACUGACACUGAGGAACGAAAGCCAGGGGAGCAAACGGG
rnacentral:rRNA from 1 species